rnacentral:lncRNA from 1 species
UCGAAAGAGCCUUCCAAAAACGUUAAUAUGCUAAUAUUACAGUAAAUGAUUUUAUUUUUUUCCCUAUUUUCUUUUUUAAUUAUACAUAGGACCAUUACACUCAUUAUGCUUAAACGUUUCCAUUUAUUUCAAGCCCAAUGAGUACAUAGCAGAAGAGAUGUGAAAUCAACAAUCGUAUUUACAAAGGCAUGUUAGGAUUAUGUUUUGCUUCGAUUAUUCUUUGAUUUGACCUAAUAUCGUUAUGGCAUUUAGACUAUAUAUUUAUCUAUAAUUUGUUUCAUAUUAACUCUCUCUUUUUAACUUAAGCGUAGCACACUUGAUAUUUAAUUCUCAUCUUCAUUCAUGCGACCAGUAAUGUUUGACUUUAAACUUUCUGUUUAGUAUUGGGGAGGCUUGUUGUUGUGGUUUUGAAGUGGAAAAAAAAAAAGAAGAAGAGAUAU